AACACUAGUGAAGGGGCAUCUCUUUGUGGUCAAAACUCCGGUGGUCAGCGAUGAGCAUGCGUCCGAUUAGCUAGUUGGUGAGGUAAUGGCUCACCAAGGCAACGAUCGGUAGGGGGUCUGAGAGGAUGAUCCCCCACACUGGUACUGAGACACGGACCAGACUCCUACGGGAGGCAGCAGUAAGGAAUAUUGGACAAUGGGCGCAAGCCUGAUCCAGCCAUGCCGCGUGAAGGAUGAAGGCCCUAUGGGUUGUAAACUUCUUUUGGUAGGGAAAAAACCCCUCGAUGCGUCGGGGGCUGAUGGUACCUACAGAAUAAGGAUCGGCUAACUCCGUGCCAGCAGCCGCGGUAAUACGGAGGAUCCAAGCGUUAUCCGGAUUUAUUGGGUUUAAAGGGUGCGUAGGCGGAUAAAUAAGUCAGUGGUGAAAGCCUGCAGCUUAACUGCAGAACUGCCAUUGAUACUGUUUAUCUU
rnacentral:rRNA from 1 species